GGGGGCGUAGCUCAGCUGGGAGAGCACCUGCCUUGCACGCAGGGGGUCAACGGUUCAAUCCCGUUCGCCUCCACCA
rnacentral:tRNA from 6 species